UACGUGGGGGGCAAGCGUUAUCCGGAAUUAUUGGGCGUAAAGAGCUCGUAGGCGGUUUGUCGCGUCUGCUGUGAAAGUCUGGGGCUCAACUCCGGAUCUGCGGUGGGUACGGGCAGACUAGAGUGAUGUAGGGGAGACUGGAAUUACUGGUGUAGCGGUGAAAUGCGCAGAUAUCAGGAAGAACACCAAUGGCGAAAGCAGCUCUCUGGGACGGUACUGACGCUGAGACGCGAAAGCGUGGGGAGCGAACAGG
rnacentral:rRNA from 1 species